rnacentral:rRNA from 1 species
CAAACACUUUCAGCAAUGGAUGUCUUGGCUCCUACAUCGAUGAAGAACGCAGCGAAAUGCGAUACGUCAUGCGAAUUGCAAAACCAGCGAGUCAUCAAAACUUUGAACGCAACUUGCACUUCC